GCCUGUCUGGUUCAGUCGGUAGAGCAUGAGACUCUUGAUCUUGGGGUCGUGAGUUCAAGCCCCACGUUGAGCU
rnacentral:tRNA from 1 species